rnacentral:rRNA from 1 species
AGAGUUUGAUCCUGGCUCAGGAUGAACGCUGGCGGCGUGCUUAACACAUGCAAGUCGAGCGAAGCACUUUACUUGGAUUUCUUCGGAAUGACGAGUAUUGUGACUGAGCGGCGGACGGGUGAGUAACGCGUGGGUAACCUGCCUCAUACAGGGGGAUAACAGUUAGAAAUGACUGCUAAUACCGCAUAAGACCACAGCACCGCAUGGUGCAGGGGUAAAAACUCCGGUGGUAUGAGAUGGACCCGCGUCUGAUUAGCUGGUUGGUGGGGUAACGGCCUACCAAGGCAACGAUCAGUAGCCGGCCUGAGAGGGCGACCGGCCACAUUGGGACUGAGACACGGCCCAAACUCCUACGGGAGGCAGCAGUGGGGAAUAUUGCACAAUGGGGGAAACCCUGAUGCAGCGACGCCGCGUGAAGGAAGAAGUAUUUCGGUAUGUAAACUUCUAUCAGCAGGGAAGAAAAUGACGGUACCUGACUAAGAAGCCCCGGCUAACUACGUGCCAGCAGCCGCGGU